rnacentral:lncRNA from 1 species
CCUCCUUCUCGUAAUAGUUAUGUACAAUAUAUGAAGGGAUACGAUUUGCGUCUUUGAUUUAGACAUAUCUCUUGCCUCAUACUUAAACAAUAACUUGAAAAAUAUUUUACAAAGAAAAAGAACAUUGUUCAUCUGAAUGUCAUUCAUUAUUAUAUUGCUAUAUUUUAUACCCUAUUAUUAAUAUAUACAAAAUUUCUUAAUUGCCUUUUACAGAUGCACGGAAGCAUAUAAUAUAACAGUUCUAAAGUAUCCCAUUAUUAGACUUUUUCUUGGCUCAUCUCAAUCUCUUUAAUAAACUAUGUUUGCUUGGAGAAUAUAGGAAGUAUUUGGAAUGUUGUUUAAAGUUUAAUAGUAACUGGUAGCAUUGUCCAUUUGCGGCCUGAAUGGUGGGAGCACCUAUCAGGGCGAUCUGGUAGAGAUAGCAGCAUCAUAAGACUCAAACAAUCAUGGAAGGCUGUUAAUGUGCAGUGUCGACGGGUGCCAGGUCCUGUUCUUUACUGGGGGCUUUUCGUUUCUUCGGCUGCGUUUUGUUGUUGUUUUCCCUCUGCUCUCGGUUUUGCCUUCGGGCUGCUCGCCCUUUGCUUUCCUGUCUUGACUCCUUACUUUCGUCUUUGUUGGACUUUUUUCUUUUUUCCUCCCUAUUUUUUUUCCCUUUUCCUUCCUUCUGACAUCUCUUUCUUUGUACCAUACAUUUUCUGCUCUCGCUUGUAGCUGGGCAAGGAUUGCCCCUUGCUGACGGAUGUUGUACGAUCUCUCUGACCCUUACUUCAUUUCCUCUUUUGAAACCACAUGUUUUUCCUUUCUUUGUGCAAGGGCUCCAUGGACUCCACUCACUAGCUUCACAGUGCACUGCAACAAACAUAGGACACGCUGAGCCUGGCCAAUAUAUUUCUGUAUACAUUAUGCAUAUGGUACAUACAUCUUAUUCUGCAUCAGCUAAAAACUAACAAACACAAAU